rnacentral:lncRNA from 1 species
GUCGGUUCUCUUCAUUGAGUUGGGCCCAUUGCUUUAUACAUAAACCCGGAUUGGGUCCAUUACAAAUUCAGUCCAACAAGUCAAAAAUAAGAAAGAUCUAACUGAGCUAACUAAAACAAAGUUAUAUACAUAAAUACACAUUUGGGCCAUUUGGGCCUAUCAGUAUUAUUCUUUCAGCUUUGGGCCUGAAGCCAAAUAUGCAGAUAGUCCAACACCCCCCUUGAAGUUGAAGGGGGAUAGCACCUUCAACUUGUCCCGGAAUGAAUGAUGGAGAGCACCAGGAAGAGGCUUUGUAAGCACAUCAGCAAGUUGUUGAGCAGUUGGAACAUGGUGAAGUUGAAUAAAUCCCUCAAGCAGCUUGGUCCGAAUUAAAUGACAAUCCACCUCGAUGUGCUUAGUACACUCGUGAAAGACAGGAUUUUUAGCAAUAUGAAUGGCUGCCAAGAUGUCACAAAAUACAGAAAUAGGAGAAUAAAUAGGAACAUAGAUGUCAGUUAAUAAUCUGGAUAGCCAGAUUAGUUCAGCCACAACUUUGUUUACAGCACGAUAUUCAGCUUCGACUGAAGACAAAGAAACCACUGGUUUCUUCUUAGACUUCCAACCAAUAAGACUAUCACCAAGGAAAAUAUAAUAAAUUUGUGUCUCUGGGCAGGCAGCCCAAUCACUGUCUGAAUAAGCAUGGACAAACAUAUCAGCAGAAUCAGAGUAAAAGAUCCCAAGAUCAUCAGUACCCUUGAGAUAUCUAAGCAAGUGAAGAGCAGCACACAUAUGAGGAAAUCUGGGGGACUUUAAAAAUUGACUAAGGUGUUGAACUCCAAAAGAGAUAUCUGAUCUUGUGUGAGUAAGAAACAAUAGUUUACCAACAAGACUUCUGUAUUUUUCUGGUGUAGGAAGAAUAUCACCAACAUCAGCAUGCAAUUUAUUAUUUAACUCCAAAGGACUCACCACAGAACUUACAUCAGAACAGAUAAACUCAUGAAGCAAAUCAGUUACAAAUUUCUUCUGAUUGAGAAGAACACCCCUAGGCAGAUAGUUAACUUCAAUACCCAAAAAGUAAUGCAAUGACCCCAAAUCUUUAAUCUUGAAUUCAUUGUCCAAAAAUUCUUUCAAUGAAUCAAUACUAAUGUUCUCUAUGAUACUUGAUCAUGUUUGUAUUAUACUAUUAAUCCUGAGUUUGGUAUAAUCUGAUCUUCUAAUCAUCACCUAUGACUAUUAUUCAACAUAUACUGCCAAGAUAACUAGAUGACCAGGAGACCCUUUUAUAAAUAAAGAGUAGUCAUUGGGGGAAGAAUGAUAACCUCUAGAACACAAGGCAUGAGAUAGUUUAGCUUACCAUUGUCGUGAAGCUUGUCUUAGGCCAUAAAGGGAUUUCCUAAGUCUACAAACCAAUAGAGCAGAAACAGAAGAGUAGGAAAGGGAAACAAAAAGACCCAAAGGCAGUUUCAUGUAGACCUCUUCAUCUAAAUCACCAUGAAGGAAUACAUUAUUAACAUCAAGUUGAAAUAGAGACCACUUUUUCUUAACAACAGCAGCAAUAAGACAUUUCACAGUGGACAUUUUCACUACGGGAGAAAAAGUUCCAUUGACAUCCACCCCCUCAACUUGGGUGUCCCCUCUAAUGACAAGCCUAGCUUUUUAUCUUUGACACUACCAUCAGUAUUGUAUUUAAUUUUAUAGAUCCAUUUGCACCCAAUAGGUUUCUUACCAUUUGGGAGAUCAACAAUGUCCCAAGUAUGAUUUUGUUCUAAAGAUUCAAAUUCUUUUCUCAUGGCAUCUUGCCAAGCUGGUAUGGGAGCAGCCGGGAAUAUGUAUAUGGUUCAAAUUCUUUAUGCUGAGUAACAGAACAAGAAAGAGAUGAUAGAAGGGUGUAAACAUAAUCCUUUAAAUUGGAUGGAUGAGAGUGAACUCUACUAGAUUUUCUUAAAGGUAGUGAAGAGGAAGAUGAAUCCGGAGAAGGAGCAGGUAUAGUAGUAGGAAUAAUGUCAGGGUUAAAGGAAAUAGGAGAGGUUGGCACUUCAUGUACAGAAUCAUGUAAGGAGGAAGUAGAAGGAUGAACAGGGUGAGUGGGACUUGGAACAGGAGAUUGUACUUGUGAAAGAACAUCAGCAACAAGUUCUGGGUGUGACAAAACAUCAGCAGCUUCAGGAAGAUCAAUGUUAGGAUCAAGAGAAGAAGAUUGUGGUGUAUUUGGUAAAAGACAUUCAGGAGAAACAAGAAGAGAAAAAUCAGGUGAGAAAGGAAAAUGAAGUUCAUGAAACAUCACAUCUCUAGAGAAGAAACAUUGUUUAGUGUGCAAAUUAUACAAUUUGUAUCCCUUUUAGCAAAGGGAUAACCAAGGAACAUACAGGGAAAUGCUCUAGGUUUUAAUUUGUCUCUUUGGAGAAUGGGAACAGUGGCAUAUCAAAGACACCCAAAAGUUCUAAGAUGGGAAUAACUAGGCACUUUACCGUACAAUAAUUCAUAAGGAGAUUUGUUGUUGAGUAAUCUGGAAGGAAAUCUAUUGAUGAUAUAAGUGGUUGUUAAUAGGCAGUCCCCCCAAAAUCUUAUAGGAACUUUAGACUGAAAGAGUAAAGCUCUAGAUGUUUCAAGUAAAGUCUUAUAUUUUCUUUCCACCACACCAUUUUGUUGAGGAGUGUGGGGACAACUAGUCUGAUGAAUAAUGCCAUGUUUAGAGAAGAAAUAAAUGUCAGCAAGACUAGAGCCUAGCUCUAAUGCAUUAUCAGAUCUAAUGUUUUGUAUUAUAGUAUGAAACUGAGUCUUUACCAUGGCAAUAAAUGCUUUAAGCAAAGAGAAUGGAUUACUCUUGGAUUCCAUUAUAUGAGUCCAAGUGCUUCUAGAAAAAUCAUCAACAAUGGUGAGGAAAUACUUGAAACCAGAAUAGGUAGGGGUAUUAUAAGGUCCCCAAGUAUCAACAUGAAUGAGUUAAAAAGGUUUGGAAGUUUUAAUGGAAUUUUCUGGGAAUGGUAAUCUGGUUUGCCUAGCCAAUGGACAAAUUGUACAAGGAAAAUACUAAUUAGAAGAAAUUUCAUAUAUACUCUUCAUUCUAAUAAAAGGAACAUGAGCAAGUCUAUUAUAACAGACAAUAUCCAUUUUAUUCAAAACAGCUUUAUUACAUAUGGCAGAAUCUUUAUGUACAUCAGAAGAAGAGAAAGAACUAGAGUUACACAAAGAUGAAAGGUUGUUGAUAUUUGAAACAUUUGUCAGAGUUGGCUGAAUCUGAGAUGAUGAUUAUUCUCAAACAAACUUGUAUAAGGCAUUGUCCAGCUUACCAUGAUCCAGGGGCUUCUUCAGAGAAUGGCCAUGUAUAACACAUGAGAUUCUGGUAAACUGAACUAUGCAAUCAAAUUGUUCAGUAAUUUUGUGUACAAAAAUGAGAUUAUGUUUAAAAGAAAGUGGAUAAAGGACAUUGUGAAGAAUAAUGGACUUAGUUAAGACAAAAGAUCAUGUACAGGUAACCUUAACUUUAUAUCCAUUUGGAAGAGAAACAAGAAAAGGAAUGGAUAAGGGUGUGAUAUUAAUGAGAUAUUCUUUAUUGGAAGUCAUAUGAUCAGAUGCACCUGAAUCUACUAUCCAAGUUAAGGAAUCUGAUUUACUCAGCAAAGUAGAAUUAAAACUAUAUACAACAGUCUUAGGCAGUAAAGUAUCAGCAAAAUUGGCAGAACUUAAAGUGUUGAGAGAAGGUCCAAAAUCAGAAAUGUGAGUCCAUUGAAGCAAGGAUAUCAAUUGAGCAUACUGCUACUGAGUCAAUCCAUGUACCACAGAUCCUUGUUCUGCCUUAUUCUGAGUAGAAGUUGAAACAGAAUUGGCAGAAACAUUUUGUGGAGUAGCAAGUUCAGAAUCUACCAUGUUUGCAGCUAGUUUUCUGCCUUUGGUGAACUUAAAAUUUUGAGGAAAUCCAUUAAGUUUGUAACAUUUGUCAAUCAGGUGCCAUGUCUUCUUACAAUACUUACAGAAGAGACCAGACUUAGAUUGAUCAAAAAAUACCCUUUGACUGUACUGUUUUUGUUGUGGCUGUGGUUGAGUAAAUUUGAUAUUGUUGGAACUAGCAUUGAAAGAGGCAGAUUCUGAAUGAGACUGAGGAUUUGUAGUAAUUUGUCUUUGUUUUUCAUCUUGUAGAAGAAUGAUAUAGAAAGAAUCAAGAGAAGGUAAAGGAUGCAUCAUCAAUAGAUUGCUUCUAACACCCACAUAAACCUCGUUUAAUCCCAUGAGGAACUGAUGUACUUUGUCCUCUUCUCUUUCCUUUUGUAAACCCUCUUUAGCAGCACAUUUACAAGAGUUUGCAUGACUACUACGCAUAACCUCCAAUUCAUCCCAUAUUUUCUUAAGUUUAUUGAAAUAAGAAGGAAUAUCAAAAGAUCCCUGAUAUGUGGAUGCUAGAUUUCUUUUUAAUUCAAACACCUUAGUUUCAUUUACUGUCCCAUAUCUAUUAUUAAGUUGUUUCCAUAUGCUCUCAGCAGUAUCUGAGUAAUGUACACUCUCAGCUAUGUCUGGUGAAAGUGAGUUGGUCAGCCAUGAUAUGACCAUAUUAUUGCAGCGGUCCCAUUGCCUAAACUGAGGGGAAUUUUCAGGAGGCCUAACACAGGUCCCGUCAAUAAAACCAAUUUUAUUUCUAGCAGAUAACGAAACAAUCAUACUACGCUUCCAACUUCCAAAUCCAUUCACCGAGAACGAUAUCGCAACAAGAGAAACCCCAGGUACAUCAGAAGGGAGAAGGAAUAACGGGGAAGACGGUUCAGGUGUGUAAACAAAUGAAGAAGAUGAAGAGUUCACAGGAGGAUCGAGACUACCCAUAUCAACCAGGUAAUAUCAAUUACCAAAUGUUCAGAAGAAAGCAACUCAAUACUUUUCACACAAUGAAGAAAUCAAACAACUGAGGAACGAAAAUACCAGACUUCUUCGCGACCUGAAGAAGCAAAGGCCUUUAACAGCAUAAACCCAAUGUCUGACAAAGAAACCCUAGGUUCUUCGAUCGAGUUUGAAAAUACGAGAAAAAUGCCAUAGAAUCUUCAAAUCAAAAGACUUUGUUGAUAGAAAAGAUAAAAUCCACACUGAAACACCUUGAAAUUUUCUCAAAUCGCUGAAGACGCAGAUCUUUGACGAAAGCAAAAAAACACCACGAAAUCGAACAAAGGUAACACCGGACGAUGCAGGAGAACGAGAGCUAGCAAAAUCCCUGCUCUGAUACCAUGUUAACUAGCAAAAUCAGAGGAAACGAAGGUUUCCAUCAAUGGAAGCCAGGGUUCGAGAAAGUUCUUCUGAAAGAGAACUUUGAUUAACAGAAGAUGUAAAAUGAAAAAUAUGUCGGUUCCCUUCAUUGAGUUAGGCCCAUUGCUUUAUACAUAAACCCGGAUUGGGUCCAUUACAAAUUCAGUCCAACAAGUCAAAAAUAAGAAAGAGCUAACUGAGCUAACUAAAACAAAGUUAUAUACAUAAAUAGACAUUUGGGCCUAUCAGUAUUAUUCUUUCAGCUUUGGGCCUGAAGCCAAAUAUGCAGAUAGUCCAACA